CACCGCACUUUGAGAUUAUGAGACGCACACAGUAACAAAGCUUUGGAGUGGCGCCGUCGACAUCUAUCGAUAUUAGUGCUCUUGCCUUUACGCUAUCACAACCGUCACAAAGGAAUACUAAAAAGAGUAAAGAAACGCAAAAUUGGCCAAGCGGAAUCGCAACGAAAUCAACUCUCUCGGGGAGCAAGACGAGGUUAUCGUUUGUGAUUGCAGGCAUUUGGUUGGCCCCCUUUUAUUCGCGUGCCAUCAGCGAUGGGGUUGAGGUGAACAUUCUCCCAUUGUUUGUUCCAUCAUUAAGCCGUGCGAUAAGCCUACAUCAGUUGAAUAUACAUACAUACAUACAUACAUAUAAAAGAGAUCACAUAAGAAGCAGUAAAGUUCAUGAGUGGUCAGUGUUUACUUUCAGAAAGGUGAUA